rnacentral:rRNA from 1 species
UACGGAGGGGGCGAGCGUUAUUCGGAAUUAUUGGGCGUAAAGAGCUCGUAGGCGGUCUGUCGCGUCGGAUGUGAAAAUCCAGGGCUCAACCCUGGACCUGCAUUCGAUACGGGCAGACUAGAGUUCGGCAGGGGAGACUGGAAUUCCUGGUGUAGCGGUGAAAUGCGCAGAUAUCAGGAGGAACACCGGUGGCGAAAGCGACUUCCUGGACCAGUACCGACGUUCAGGCACGAAAGCGUGGGGAGCAAACAGG